UUGCAUUCACUGCAAUUAAGAAAACCAUCUCAUACCAUGAUAUCUUAUAUCAGUCUUAAUUCAUUAUUAUAAAAUUGAUAUGGUUUUUUUAUGUUAAGAAACCAACAUACAUACACACGUCGACCCAAUUCCUAACGUCACUAAAAAAAAUAUGUUCAAUUGUUUACAUUUGUGAAGUGCGUGGAAUAAUUCCAUCUGCGUAAAUGGGCAAUAAAUUAGUUCCAAAGAGUUGCAUUAAAACUCGCAAGUUUUUGCACGAUUUAUCGUACAUUUAAAAGUCAUAGUUCUUAAUUUAAUGCAUGCGAUCUUAAAUAUCCAAUCAAAUAUACGUUGAAUGCGUUUGUUCGGUUUUAUCUAUUUUAUAGACAAAAUGGAGGGCUGAGCCUUUCGCAGAGUUGUAUGUGAGAGCAAGGAACGACAACUCUGCGUGGAGAUUGCCCGGCAGCCAGUAGCCGAUUUGUGAAAAACUGUAGUGUGCCCCCUUUAUCUUUUAAAUGAAACCAGUCUGUAUAAAAACAAUACUCGUGAAAACAGCGCUAGGUUACAUACAACUAUAAAAAUAAAUAUUCGGAACCGAAAUUUCCAGGGGUGGAUCCGUACCCGCGAAUCUGAGGUAGGAUCCGAUAUCAUCGGAUAUUUCGGGUACCCGUUGCAGCCCUAUUCACAACACAUUUAAUCUUUCAAAUGUACAGUUUAUCCUUGUUAACGUACCUUUUUAGAAGUUAAAAGAAA